AUUUGAUCCACCUGUCUCCAAUUCCUAAGCAUUAGCAUGGGAUCCCCAUUUCCUGUUUAUAUGACACUGGGGACCAAACCCAAAGCUUCCUGCACAUCAGGCAAAUACUCUACCAACAGCUGUAUUUCUAGCCCCUGUCUGUUUACUUUUAUUCUUGAGGUAGGGUCUUGUUGUGUAGUCCAGGCUGGCCUUGAACAUACAAUUCAGUGUUAGCUCUCUGAGUGUAAGCAUUAAAGAAGUCAUCUUCCCUUUCAUAAAAUGCAGGAUCUGGUUAAAUGUCCACUUGUGGCUGUCACCCUGUUGGUGCCUCAAGUACAGGGACUAACAGGGAAGCAAGGACUUCAGCCCAUGGACUUCAGUGUCUAUCAAACAACAGCAAAAUAAAAAAUGGAUACAGGGAGGCAUCCCAAGGAUAUCAGCCAGCCAUCAUAUAUCAAGCUGCAGUGAGACCAGAUACCUGCUCCUCUACCCCAGUGUUCUUCUUAAAGGAUGCCCAUGGAAGGACACUCUUGUGUUUGCUUAUGAGAUACAGAUGUUGGGAUUCAUCCAAGGGACCACGAUGAGGCACGGUAGAGCCCAUAUGAGGAUCUGCAGAGUUGAUGCAAGAGAUCUUGCAGUGAGUGACCUCUUGCUUUAGAGCCUGCCUGGCUCAGUUGCCAAAAUGUUCCAGCCUUGAGUGGGGCCUCUGUGUUGUGGUUGCCAGGGGUCUGUAUAGAUACAUAUGCAGGCAAGAUGCUUACAC
rnacentral:lncRNA from 1 species